CUAGUAGGGCACACCGCCAUUGUUCGGACCAUCGACAGAAUAACGUUCGUGUUUUUCAGAUUUCUCCAUCCAAGACAUAGAUUUGCUGAUGAAUAACAUCGCAAAGAUCUUGGUGUAUUGUCUUCAUACUUGGCCACAACAACCCUUCAAAUAGACCAGACUAAACUAAAUUAACUUGACCACCAUAUUAACAUUCAAGAAGUUCGGCCUACAUGUCAGAUUUAUGAAUGUGAACAGCAAAUAUCGAUUUUAAGGAUGCUUUAGGGUCAAUGACAAUGAAAUCACGAGAGAUAAAGGCUAAAAUGUGAGACUGUCAAUCUGACUAACCUUGAAGUGAACAAAUGGAAAAAAUGUUUCUUUCAAUAGCAUGGGCUUUUAAGGAAGAGGAAACAGAGGCGCUUAUAUGAUAGAACAGUAAAAGCAGGAGUGAUAAGGAAAGAUACAUGUAGAUGUGUCUUCAUGUCGGAAACACUAAAGAAAUAGAAAUAUUGUGGUUUUAUAAAACUUAAAAGAAAUUGGAAUAUCAGGAGACUCCCUGCCCUUUGCAAUGUUGGAUAAUGAGUUCUUAGAUGUGAUGUCGAAAGCCUCAUGAAUAUAGUACCAUGACUUAAUCUAAUUAGAAAAAGAAAUGACAUUGAGGAGAAAACUAGUCACCAGUCUUUCACCAAGAACUAGAGAUAACUUUCCAAUAUUUGAAAUAUCAUAAUAUGUAUAGAACUUUAUUGAGCCACCAGUUUUUCACCAGGAAAAUAAGAUCACUUAACUAUUUUUAGCUCACCUGUCACAAAGUGACAGGGUGAGCUUUUUUGAUCGCUUUUCGUCUGGCGUCCACUUUAAAUGACAUCUCCUCAUAAACCACUAAGCCAAUUUCAUCCAAAUUUCACAGGAAUGUUUCUUUGGUGGUCACCUCUAAAUAUUGUUCAUAGAACGCUGGUUGCCAU